UACAGAGGUCUCAAGCGUUGUUCGGAUUCAUUGGGCGUAAAGGGUGCGUAGGCGGCGCGGUAAGUCGGGGGGUGAAAUCCCGAGGCUCAACCUCGGAACUGCCUUCGAUACUGCGGGUCUCGAGUCCGGGAGAGGUGAGUGGAAUUCCUAGUGUAGAGGUGAAAUGCGCAGAUAUCAGGAAGAACACCCGUGGCGAAGGCGGCUCUCUGGGACGGUACUGACGCUGAGACGCGAAAGCGUGGGGAGCGAACAGG
rnacentral:rRNA from 1 species